GUGGGGAAUAUUGGACAAUGGGCGAAAGCCUGAUCCAGCCAUGCCGCGUGUGUGAAGAAGGUCUUCGGAUUGUAAAGCACUUUAAGUUGGGAGGAAGGGUAGUAACCUAAUACGUUGCUACUUUGACGUUACCGACAGAAUAAGCACCGGCUAACUUCGUGCCAGCAGCCGCGGUAAUACGAAGGGUGCAAGCGUUAAUCGGAAUUACUGGGCGUAAAGCGCGCGUAGGUGGUUUUGUAAGUUGGAGGUGAAAUCCCCGGGCUCAACCUGGGAACUGCAUCCAAAACUGGCGAGCUAGAGUACGGUAGAGGGUGGUGGAAUUUCCUGUGUAGCGGUGAAAUGCGUAGAUAUAGGAAGGAACACCAGUGGCGAAGGCGACCACCUGGACUGAUACUGACACUGAGGUGCGAAAGCGUGGGGAGCAAACAGGAUUAGAUACCCGAGUAGUCC
rnacentral:rRNA from 1 species